rnacentral:rRNA from 1 species
UACGUAGGGUGCAAGCGUUAAUCGGAAUUACUGGGCGUAAAGCGUGCGCAGGCGGUUAUGUAAGACAGUUGUGAAAUCCCCGGGCUCAACCUGGGAACUGCAUCUGUGACUGCAUAGCUAGAGUACGGUAGAGGGGGGAUGGAAUUCCGCGUGUAGCAGUGAAAUGCGUAGAUAUGCGGAGGAACACCGAUGGCGAAGGCAAUCCCCUGGACCUGUACUGACGCUCAUGCACGAAAAGCGUGGGGGAGCAAACAGG